AGAAGUAAAAUGUUGCAGCAAACACUUUGUCACCAUGUGAUAUAUUUCAGGACAUUUUUACUAAUUAUAUUAAUGAAUUAAUGAUGCCAGUAAAAUUCUAAGCAUAUAUGGUAAAUAUCACGACAUUUUGCAAAACUACGUUCACACAGUGGUUAUAUAAUUGUUUAUAAUUAUUGUGAUAAAUAGCACGUAUAUCAGACAUUGGCUGUGAGUUUCCUGGUGAUUUAGGAAGUGAUCUGGAACUAAAAAUCUGAUCAAACUUACAAUAUUGCCUACGUUUUAUAAACGAUCAUUCAUAUAUUUAAGAGCAGAGGAAUAACACAGAAUUCUAAUAAAACAAGAUGUUGCCUAGUAAUGACUUAAUUGUUCAAUCCAACAAAUACUUUGACCUAUGGCACUACAUUUGAUUCGGUUAAAAUUAUAAUUUGAAAAGAAGAACGUGAAUGGUCCAAAAUCAAAUGAUGUAAAUCACUGAAACAUCGUAUGAAAACAUGCUAUUUACGUCAUGAAAAUGAUUUAGAAACUGCAAUGAGGGGUCCAUUCUUCGGUACAGGAAAUUUUACAGAACCAAGUUACAACAACAGCGCGUCUGUAGCUGCUGACUAUGUUGGUACGUUGUCAGGAAAUACAAGCGUCUCUGGUGAUGUAAAUUUAUCAUCAGCUGUCACCCCACCCACUUUCUACAGAGACUGGGAUGAUUCAACUUAUUAGUUAUAUGUAUAUUAUUUAACUUUAACAGAGCGUGUUGCAUCUCUUAUAGGGUUGUUAUUGAACGUGUCAACGUGCGUCAUACUUUUAACAUUAAAAGGGUCAUUAAAAACGCAAUUAAAACUUAUUCUUAGCCUAUCUUUUUCUGAUGGGGUUAUUGCCGUUCAUCAUCUGUUACUAACUUAUGUCAGGUUUCCUAGCAUUUGGAGUAUAUUUAAGUUUGGAAUGAGGGAUCAUACCUAUCAAGGUGUUUUUAUAAAUGUACUAUACUCAACGGCACAAUUUGCAGGACUCUCCACAAUGAGCGCAAUAUCAAUUGAUGUUUUUCUUAAGGUACAUAAACCACUGAGAUACAAGGUUUUAAUGUCGAAAAGGCGUGGCAAUAUUUUGAUAGCUUGUUUCUGGGUAACGCCAUGCUUAAUAUAUGUUGCCAUAGCAACAUGCUUGUAUCAUAUUUCAAACUUUGUACCGGCCACUAAAAAUAUGUUUGUCUUCUUCAAUUUUUUUUAUUUCUUGUGUUGUGUUUUAUUCUUUUUCUUCUUCGUGAUUAUCUAUUCAAUAACAAUUUACUCUAUUAAUACAUUUAUGCAAAGACAACCGUCAUCUUAUCGUCACGGUAUAACAAAGACAGCUGUCACGGUAUGUUUCAUAAUAACGUCGUAUUUUGUUUUUGUUAUGCCAGUUUUAUUAAUAAUACUAAGUGAGUUUUUGUGGUUUUCAAUGGAUUACGAAGUAUGCUUGCUUUACGUAGUAAACACGAUUUGUGAUCCGGUCAUAUAUGCCUUCAGAAUCCCCGAGAUUAAGGCACAAUACAGAAUUAUAUUUAGGAAAUUAUUUAGAUGUAAAACACGAGGUGGAGACAAUAAUAUUUGAGCCGCGUCACGACAAAACCAGCAUAAUGGGUUUGCGACCAGCAUGGAUCCAGACCAGCCUGCGCAUCCGCGCAGUCUGAUCAGGAUCCAUGCUGUUCGCUUACAAACCCUAUAACAAGUAGAGAAACUGAUAGCGAACAGCAUGGAUCCUGAUCAGACUGCGCGGAUGCGCAGGCUGGUCUGGAUCCAUGCUGGUCGCAAACCCAUUAUGUUGGUUUUGUCGUGACGCGGCUCAUUUAGAACUGUGAGAACAGAGCAAAGGAAGGAAAUAUAUACUGAACAAAAAAAAAAUGUAAAUUUCCCCGUGUUUCAGUGGAGAAAUAGUGUUGCAAUGCACGGACCAGUACAUUCGUGUAUAUUCUAUGAAACCUUUCAUUGUAAUUGUAUAGAUUUCCAUGUCAAAAAGAACGAUGCCAACGAUGCCAGACAGUCUUCAUGCCGAAGGUGGUCAUACCCGAUAUUAAUUUAUGAUUUUGUUGGGCGACCCCUUCUGCAUUUUAACUACCAUUUUGAUAAACCCUCAGCAAUGAUUUUUUUUCACAAAAAUCGCAAUAAAAUACUCUUUCGAUACAUAUAAAUCUACUUUCGUCAUGAUUUUCAUAUUUGUGUAUAUCUGCACUUACAUACAGGGGAAGUUUCUUUUUUUGUUCAGUAUAUAUUGAUAAAAUACUUGUAAAUGAAAGAAACGGUUGUUGGUUUCUAAUGUUAUAGUUACUUGUAUGGGUAUUAUCGAAAUAAAACAAGAAAUAUGUGAACAUGUUUGUUUUAAGUUUGAAAACAAUCAGUACUAUAUGUCGUGCUUUGUCACUUUCUGUAUUCAUUGUUAUUUCGGUUAAAAUUAGAAAUUUACUUUUUUAGCUAGCGUACAUGGAAAUCUUAAAGAUCCUCCAGAAAUGUAUUGGUCUAGAAUGUUUUUCCUUUUAUUUCUUCGCUUGAAAAGUACCAGGCUGAGUGUAUUGUAGUUGAUUUUCAACUAUUGUCUUAUCUAAAUAUUUUUCUUCACUGCUACUUUUGGUUAGUUAUAUAUAUAUAUAUUCUGCACGUAAGACGUUAAAUAGCUCGUGUUCUUUCAUAUAUACUUGUAUAUAUCGAUGUUAAAAUUGAUAAUGUUUUGUUUUUGAUUUUAAAUUUCUUUAAUCGUGUUCAUGUUUAUGUAAAUAAUGAAGGCAAACCUAAAGGAGAUAUACCUUCUAACUGAAGAGUAUUCGGUGUAUAUAGGACGUUAAUUCAAACUUCGACAUUAUAUAGUUUCAACUGAUCAUUGAGUUAACACCAUAAUAAAUAUAGCAUCAGUAUCGAUAUGUCUGAUUAUGUACUCAACAAAAUCAUGUUUAUAUAACAUAAACUUUAACAUGUAUAAAUGUUGACUAACCUUCUCAACAUCAUGCAGUAAACUUCACUGCACUUUAUAGCGAACAUGGAUAUAGCGAACUCUGUUAUAGCGAAAAUGAAUAUAGCGAACAUUGUUAUAACGAACAUGGUUAUAGCGAACACUAUUAUAGCGAACAUGGUUAUAGCGAACAUUUUUAUAGCGAAUGGACAAUUACUUACGGUACGAAUGAUGCCCUUCUUUACUAUUACUAUUUUUAUUAUUUCAAAGGAUAUAUAGCUCUAUCUAGUGGAAUGCAAUUCAUAAACGUUUAAAUUUUGUUGUUACAAUUAUCGUUUUGUUGAUUCUUAGAAGAUUAAAAACAAAG